CCUACGGGUGGCAGCAGUGGGGAAUAUUGGACAAUGGGGGCAACCCUGAUCCAGCCAUGCCGCGUGUGUGAAGAAGGCCCUCGGGUUGUAAAGCACUUUCAGUGAGGAAGAACGCCUGGUGGUUAAUACCCAUCAGGAAAGACAUCACUCACAGAAGAAGCACCGGCUAACUCCGUGCCAGCAGCCGCGGUAAUACGGAGGGUGCGAGCGUUAAUCGGAAUUACUGGGCGUAAAGCGCGCGUAGGUGGCUUGAUAAGCCGGGUGUGAAAGCCCCGGGCUCAACCUGGGAACGGCAUCCGGAACUGUCAAGCUAGAGUGCAGGAGAGGAAGGUAGAAUUCCCGGUGUAGAGGUGAAAUGCGUAGAGAUCGGGAGGAAUACCAGUGGCGAAGGCGGCCUUCUGGACUGACACUGACACUGAGGUGCGAAAGCGUGGGUAGCAAACAGGAUUAGAUACCCUAGUAGUC
rnacentral:rRNA from 1 species